AGUGAACGCUGGCGGUAGGCCUAACACAUGCAAGUCGAACGGCAGCACAGUAAGAGCUUGCUCUUACGGGUGGCGAGUGGCGGACGGGUGAGGAAUACAUCGGAAUCUACUUUUUCGUGGGGGAUAACGUAGGGAAACUUACGCUAAUACCGCAUACGACCUACGGGUGAAAGCAGGGGAUCUUCGGACCUUGCGCGAUUGAAUGAGCCGAUGUCGGAUUAGCUAGUUGGCGGGGUAAAGGCCCACCAAGGCGACGAUCCGUAGCUGGUCUGAGAGGAUGAUAAGCCACCCUGGAGCGUGGACACGGUCCAGAGUCCUGAGGGAGGCAGCAGUGGGGAAUAUGGGACAAUGGGGGGAAGCCUGAUCCAGCCAGACCGCGUGGGUGAAGAAGGCCUUCGGGUUGUAAAGCCCUUUUGUGGGGAAAGAAAAGCAGCAGGUUAAUACCCCGCUGUUCUGACGGUACCCGAAGAAUAAGCACCGGCUAACCUCGUG
rnacentral:rRNA from 1 species